GACGAACGCUGGCGGCGUGCUUAACACAUGCAAGUCGAACGGAGUGGCGAACGGGUGAGUAACACGUGGGUGAUCUGACUUGCAAUUCGGGAUAAGAUUGGGAAACUGGGUCUAAUAGCGGAUAGUGCAAGAUGAGCUCGCGGCCUAUCAGCUUGUUGGUGGGGUAAUGGCCUACCAAGGCGGCGACGGGUAGACGGCCUGAGAGGGUGUACGGCCACAGUGGGACUGAGAUACGACCCAGACUGCUACGGGAGGCAGCAGUGGGGAAUAUUGCACAAUGGGCGGAAGCCUGAUGCAGCGAUGCCGCGGGGGGGAGGAAGGCCUUCGGGUUGUAAACUCCUUUCGACAGGGACGCGGUACCUGUAUAAGAAGCACCGGCUAACUACGUGCCAGCAGCCGCGGUAAUUC
rnacentral:rRNA from 1 species